rnacentral:rRNA from 1 species
AAAACUUUCAACAACGGAUCUCUUGGUUCUCGCAUCGAUGAAGAACGCAGCGAAACGCGAUAGUUAAUGUGAAUUGCAGAAUUCAGUGAAUCAUCGAGUCUUUGAACGCACAUUGCGCCCCUUGGUAUUCCGAAGGGCAUGUCUGUUUGAGCGUC